rnacentral:ribozyme from 14 species
AAAAAAAAAAAAAGAAAAAAAGAAAAAAAGAAAAAAAG